rnacentral:rRNA from 1 species
GGGCCCGCACAAGCGGUGGAGCAUGCGGCUUAAUUCGAUGAUACCCGUAGAACCUUACCUGGACUUGACAUAUAGGGUCAAGCUAUAGAGAUAUAGUGUGCAUUAGCGCCCUAUACAGGUGGUGCAUGGCUGUCGUCAGCUCGUGUCGUGAGAUGUUGGUUAAGUCCCGCAACGAGCGCAACCCCCUGUCCUAUGUUGCCAGCAUUUAGUUGGGGACUCAUAGGAGACUGCCGUGAUAAACCGGAGGAAGGUGGGACGACGUCAAGUCAUCAUGCCCCUUAUGUCCAGGGCUGCACGCAUGCUACAAUGGCAAGUACAACGAGUCGCAAUACCGCGAGGUGGGAGCAAAUCUCUUAAAGCUUGUCUC